CCCCUAGAUGUUCUGGGCCGCACGCGCGCUACACUGAACAGUUCAACAAGUCUUAACCUUGGCCGAUAGGUCUGGGUAAUCUUUGAACGCUGUUCGUGAUUGGGAUAGACCUUUGCAAUUAUGGGUCUUCAACGAGGAAUUCCUAGUAAACGCAAGUCAUCAGCUUGCAUUGAUUACGUCCCUGCCCUUUGUACACACCGCCCGUCGCACCUACCGAUUGAAUGGUCCGGUGAAAUCUCGGGACGGCGGCUUGGUCGCUUGCGUCCGACUGCUGAAACUUGAUUAAACCAUAUCAUUUAGAGGAAGGCGAAGUCGUAACA
rnacentral:rRNA from 1 species